UUGCACGCUGGCGGCAUGCCUUACACCUGCAAGUCGAACGGUAACAGGUCUUCGGAUGCUGACGAGUGGCGAACGGGUGAGUAAUACAUCGGAACGUGCCCGAUCGUGGGGGAUAACGGAGCGAAAGCUUUGCUAAUACCGCAUACGAUCUACGGAUGAAAGCAGGGGACCGCAAGGCCUUGCGCGGACGGAGCGGCCGAUGGCAGAUUAGGUAGUUGGUGGGAUAAAAGCUUACCAAGCCGACGAUCUGUAGCUGGUCUGAGAGGACGACCAGCCACACUGGGACUGAGACACGGCCCAGACUCCUACGGGAGGCAGCAGUGGGGAAUUUUGGACAAUGGGCGAAAGCCUGAUCCAGCCAUGCCGCGUGCAGGAUGAAGGCCUUCGGGUUGUAAACUGCUUUUGUACGGAACGAAAAGACUCUUUCUAAUAAAGAGGGUCCAUGACGGUACCGUAAGAAUAAGCACCGGCUAACUACGUG
rnacentral:rRNA from 1 species